rnacentral:lncRNA from 1 species
UUAUUUAUCGUCAAUGGCUUUGUUAUUGCUUUAUGCUUGAUCUUUUUAUAAUUUGGUUGGAUUUUUCUUGAAUUUGAAUAGGGGAGAGCUUUGUUUUGUUUUGUUUUUUUUUUUUUCAUGAUUUAUCUGUUAGUUUGCCCUUAUAAGAAAUAAUUGUUGUGGUGUUUUUUUUUAUUAUUGUUAGUUCUAUUGUUGGUUUUGCAAGUUUUGAGUGGUUUCGUUAAGAGAGCUCUACUCUUGGUUUGGAUAUUGAUGAAUGCUCUACUCCAUUCUGCCUUAUGAGAAGGAUUUUCUAGCAUGCUAAUUUGAGACCACACCACUAUACUUGGCAACUACUACUUCCGUAGGCUAUAGUAGCCUGAGAGCUGUGCCACAUCGUUUUCUUGUUUCGGCGUAUGAAUCUAUUUGUAUUUGAUUUACCUUCGGUCUCUUCGGUCUCCUUUGUGUUGUUGCAUGUUCGUGUUGCUUAGUCUCCUCUACUUUGGAUCUUUCUAUUUCCUUUUGCAUGUU